AUGACUUUCUCCUCAGUUGGGAGAGCGCAACCUUGACAGGGUUGAGGUCGGGGGUUCGAACCCCUCACAGGUCAUA
rnacentral:tRNA from 1 species